GGAUCGGAUUGUUGGUCGUGCCUCGGUACGCACUGGCAUUAUUGGGUCCUACCUUCUGAAGAACCGCGAUGUCAUUAAUUUGGUGUCGUGGGGAAUCAGGACUGUUACUUUGAAAAAAUUAGAGUGUUUAAAGCAGGCUAACGCUUGAAUACAUUAGCAUGGAAUAACGAAAUAGGACGUUUGAUUUUAUUUUGUAGGUUUCUAGGAUCGACGUA
rnacentral:rRNA from 1 species